rnacentral:rRNA from 1 species
CCUACGGGAGGCAGCAGUGGGGAAUUUUGGACAAUGGGCGCAAGCCUGAUCCAGCCAUGCCGCGUGCGGGGAGAAGGCCUUCGGGUUGUAAACCGCUUUUUGUCAGGGAAGAAAUCCUUUGAGCUAAUACCUCGGGGGGGAUGACGGUACCUGAAGAAUAAGCACCGGCUAACUACGUGCCAGCAGCCGCGGUAAUACGUAGGGUGCGAGCGUUAAUCGGAAUUACUGGGCGUAAAGCGUGCGCAGGCGGUCUUGCAAGACAGGUGUGAAAUCCCCGGGCUUAACCUGGGAACUGCACUUGUGACUGCAAGGCUGGAGUACGGCAGAGGGGGAUGGAAUUCCGCGUGUAGCAGUGAAAUGCGUAGAUAUGCGGAGGAACACCGAUGGCGAAGGCAAUCCCCUGGGCCUGUACUGACGCUCAUGCACGAAAGCGUGGGGAGCAAACAGGAUUAGAUACCCUGGUAGUCCACGCCCUAAACGAUGUCAACUGGUUGUUGGACGGCUUGCUGUUCAGUACGAAGCUAACGCGUGAGUUGACCGCCNGGGGAGUACGGCCGNGAAGGUUGAAACGUCAAAGGGAAUUGACGG